GAAAAACUGGAUCUGGCUGCGACAUCUGUCACCCCAUUGAUUGCCAGGGUUGAUUCGGCUGAUCUGGCUGGCUAGGCGGGUGUCCCCUUUCUCCCUCACCGUUCCAUGUGCAUCCCUCCUCAAGUUGCGUGCUCAGUCGAAGAGAAUGGCCUUCCCCGAAUAGAGAAACCAAGGUUUAGGGGCUGGGUGGUAGUGCACCUGGUUUACUACGCAUGAUACAAUGUGCAAGGGCCUGGGGUCGAGUCUCCCCUGGUUCCCACCUGCAGGCGAAAGCUUUGCAAGUGGUGAAAAGCAGUGUUAC
rnacentral:snRNA from 1 species